UGUGUGUGUGUGUGUGUGUGUGCGCAAUACUUCAGUUGUUGGUUUGGAAGAACCAAAUCGUUCCUGACCUGUACAGGGGUUGCACAGUGUCGGGUGAAUGAUCAACAUAAUGAAUGAUCAACACGAUAAUGAAUGAUCAACAAGCUCAUAACUGCGUGGGUGCUUAAAGCGACGCCCCGGAGAGGGCGCCCGUGACUCCUCCCCCCCGGUCCGGCGUGCGGCGGUCCGUGUCGUCGGUUUCAGUGUCUCUUCAUCAGUGAUGUCGGCGAGUUGCGUUCGCUGUAGGCGUCCCCAAACACCAGGGGGCAGUAGAGAUGCUCUGGAGUACGGAGACGGUGGAGGGCCGUUUGGGGGUGGUGGUGGGGUGAUUUGGUAAGCUCUUAGCACCAGCUACAGUGUCGUCCUACGCUGGCCUGUGUACUCUUCCGCGCUCACUGAAAGUCCCGUCGUUCAGCAGAAUGAACGGCAAACUCGGCUCAGGGAACCAAUGGAAUGCUUAUUCAUCUCUGAAAUGUUGUGACCAUAGCAACUUGGCAGGAGUGAGGCAUCACAAAGAGUGAUGUAACAUCAUUUGGCUCAGGGCAUCCUCCAGGAAUACCUGCUGGCCAUGACCACGGACCAGCAGCUCCUCAAUCACACUGCCAUGGCACUGAAGAACAUUGAGGCCAUCAGCCUCGCAAUCAAUUACCCGAAUAAAUCGACCAAACUGCUCAGCAUGCCCUCCUGAGUGAGCCAGGGGAGAGGAGAGGAGAGGAGAGGAGAGGAGAAGAGAAGAGCGCAGCGAGAGGCGGAGACGGAGGCGGAGACGGAGGGGGAGAGGGCGAGGGGGAGAGGCAGAGGGGGAGAAAAAAAGCCUGAAGAAGGAGAACCCAUCUUGGCUCAGACGGCUCAUUUUGAUGGGAAGUGAAGCGAUGGACCGAUACACUCUCACUCUCUCUCUCUCUCUCUGUCUCUCUGUCUCUCUGUCUGUCUCUCUGUCUCUCUCUGUGUCGCUCUCUCUCUCUUUCCAUCCUCCAGGACUCUGGUGCUGGUUCUAGUGGUGCUCUUGGUCCUGGAGCACUGUGUCUCACUGGUUCACCACUCUGUUCCCUGUCAAUGCCUUAGGGGAAUCCUUCACGUCAGCAACGUGACCGACGGG
ensembl:lncRNA